rnacentral:rRNA from 1 species
AUUGAACGCUAGCGGGAUGCUUUACACAUGCAAGUCGAACGAGCGGCGGACGGGAGAGUAAUGUAUGGGGACUGCCCGAUAGAGGGGGAUAACAAAUGGAAAGGGUAGCUAAUACCGCAUACUAUCGGAUAACCCAUAUGGGAUUAGAUAGAAUGUGAGGAAAUGGCUCACCUAGGCGACGAUCCCUAGCUGGUCUGAGAGGAUGAUCAUCCACACUGGGACUGAGACACGGCCCAGACUCCUACGGAGGCAGCAGUGGGGAAUAUUGCACAAUGGGCGCAAGCCUGAUGCAGCCAUGCCGCGUGUAUUAAGAAGGCCCUAGGGUUGUAAAGUACUUUCAGUCGGGAGUCGUUACCGACAGAAGAAGCACCGGCUAACUCCGUGCCAGCAGCCGCGGUAUUUC